rnacentral:rRNA from 1 species
UACGUAGGUGGCAAGCGUUGUCCGGAUUUACUGGGCGUAAAGGGCGCGUAGGCGGUCCUGUAAGUCCCGCGUGAAAUCCCCCGGCUCAACUGGGGAACUGCGCGGGAAACUGCGGGGCUUGAGUUCGGGAGAGGGAUGCGGAAUUCCAGGUGUAGCGGUGAAAUGCGUAGAUAUCUGGAGGAACACCGGUGGCGAAGGCGGCAUCCUGGACCGACACUGACGCUGAGGAGCGAAAGCCAGGGGAGCAAAACGGGG